AUUAUGGCUCAGAUUGAACGCUGGCGGCAGGCCUAACACAUGCAAGUCGAGCGGAUGACGGGAGCUUGCUCCUUGAUUCAGCGGCGGACGGGUGAGUAAUGCCUAGGAAUCUGCCUGGUAGUGGGGGACAACGUUUCGAAAGGAACGCUAAUACCGCAUACGUCCUACGGGAGAAAGCAGGGGACCUUCGGGCCUUGCGCUAUCAGAUGAGCCUAGGUCGGAUUAGCUAGUUGGUGGGGUAAUGGCUCACCAAGGCGACGAUCCGUAACUGGUCUGAGAGGAUGAUCAGUCACACUGGAACUGAGACACGGUCCAGACUCCUACGGGAGGCAGCAGUGGGGAAUAUUGGACAAUGGGCGAAAGCCUGAUCCAGCCAUGCCGCGUGUGUGAAGAAGGUCUUCGGAUUGUAAAGCACUUUAAGUUGGGAGGAAGGGCAGUAAGYUAAUACCUUGCUGUUUUGACGUUACCGACAGAAUAAGCACCGGCUAACUCUGUGCCAGCAGCCGCGGUAAUACAGAGGGUGCAAGCGUUAAUCGGAAUUACUGGGCGUAAAGCGCGCGUAGGUGGUUUGUUAAGUUGGAUGUGAAAGCCCCGGGCUCAACCUGGGAACUGCAUCCAAAACUGGCAAGCUAGAGUACGGUAGAGGGUGGUGGAAUUUCCUGUGUAGCGGUGAAAUGCGUAGAUAUAGGAAGGAACACCAGUGGCGAAGGCGACCACCUGGACUGAUACUGACACUGAGU
rnacentral:rRNA from 1 species